AUUAGUACAAAGUCUAUCACCCCUCAGGCCCAGCCUAACUGUAAUAGAUACCAAUUCUCAGCCUAAAGUGAGUAGUGUGAGGUUCUUAAUCUCUGCUCAGCCAAAACAGAUCUGUUAUGACACACCUGGUGACCAGAAGCUCCGCCUUCUUUUCGACAACUCAUCAGACAUCUCUAUAAACGGACAACUUUCGGGUGAAGGCUUCAAGAUAGUUGUUGCACAUUAUAAAACUGCAAAACUAUACGUGAACACUUCCACAAUCAUCUACUCUGAUCAAGGGAACCAUGUGGAGUUUGUAUGGGGGCAGACAGACCCCAACAGCCUUCAAAC